UAACUUGUAGCUGCUGGCUUCUGUCUUAUAGCAAAUCCUACAAAUGCCAGGAAACUAAGUGUUAAAGCAAGGCUUGGGAGCUCCGAUUCAGAGGUCGGUCCAACUACAACUACAGAACCAGCUAUUAGAAGAAAAAAGAUUAUUUAUGUGAAAAAGAAUGAUGAGAAGGUCACAAGUGUCACUGGCAAGGCACGGAUGCUGAGUUUAAAUACUGCAACAAUGAAGAGUGUUACAUUUGGUGGUGUAACCAAAAAAACAUUCAUGCCAAGAGAGGCCAUUACUAGUAGUACAAAUCAUAAUAGAGUCAGGUUAUCAAAUAAUGUUACUAGCAGCAUUGGUGCCUCUGGAAUAUGCAAAGGACCUGGUUCUAUCACCAUGAAGACUGGUGUGUUCAGUCGUCUUGGGUCAUCAAACUAAGAAGCACAAGAAAGAUCUGACAUAAUGAAUUACUGACAAACUGGAGAAAGAAGUAUCACGGUGACAAGACAGCUGGAUGGAUGUAAUGUGCUGUAAUUUAAUGUGUAACCAUGUAUGGUCUCUGCUGAAUAGCUUAUAAAGUCUUUUACAUUAUAUGAUGUAACAUAUAACUUAUCUUCCAUCUUUUCCAUAUACAGUACCAAAUUCACUCUUUGAAAUUUGAGGUUCUCACUGCAGUGCAGAUGUGGAUUGUGAUUAUUACUUCUUUGAAUUUAGCUAUUACAUGAUCUUGUAUACCCAUGGCAUUAACAAAUACAGAAACAAUAAUAAAUUCCAAUAUUAUUGUUCUUUGAAGUCUGUGAACCUUAAUGGGGAUCAUGGGUACCUUGCCAUCCUGAAGUUGUUUUUGAUUGCUUAAUUGCAAUAACAAAUAAUUUUAAAAAAAGGGCAGACUUGUAAUUACAGAAAGUAAGAUCUGCAUAUGCUUCAUUUACAGCUUUCCCAUAGCAAUAGUUUACCUAGACUAGCACAUUGAGAAAUGUUUCUCUGUUUUACAGCUACAUUUUCAAUUUGUAAAUGCUGACUUUAGAUUAAUAAAAUGUAUAUGAGAAUAACCAGAA